GAUACUUCCGAUAAGAGUCUUAAAAUAAAUGUGAAAUGAAAUUAACUGAAACUGACGCCAUGAAAUACAGAAGUAAAAUGCCGAUGAUGAACUUCCGACUUCGCCCUUUGAUUCUUGGCUGCCGUCGUGGUGGUGGCUUGUGGCAAUCCAGGCUACGGAUACAAUCCAUUGGCCCCUUCGUACAUGGCUCCGUCUUAUUCCGCACCGGGUAUUUAAGGCUCCGGUGACAAAGCUCCAGCUUAUUCACCUCCAGCAUAUAAAUGAUAUUCUUCUCCUGCUUACUCAGUAUACUCACCUCCGUUUUACUCCCCUCCUGCUUACAAAGCUCCAGCCUACAUGGCCCCAGCUCCUUCGCAUUAACAAAAAAUCGUUCUAUUAGGUCACACUUUCCAAAUUGUUCAUUCGUAAUCUGAACUAUAUGUUUCAUUUUUGGACAUAAAUGUACAUUUCUUAUUUAUUACUAUGACCAUGAACACUGUUAUCUUUACAAAUCAA